AACGCACGAGACCUGCGGACCUGCGGAGGGAUCAUUACAGGACUCGCAAGACUCCUAUAACCCUGUGAACUUACUACAAAGCACGUUGCUUCGGCGGGUGCCUCCGGGUGGUUUUCCUCCUGGAAGCGCUAAGCCCGCCGGCAGCCUACUAAAUUCUGUCUCUUUGCGUUGGCAUCUCGAGUACAAACAAAUAAGUUAAAACUUUCAGCAAUGGAUCUCU
rnacentral:misc_RNA from 1 species